GACUUUGAAUUUGCUUGUGUAGGAUAGGUGGGAGGCAUUGAAGUCAGGACGCUAGUCUUGAUGGAGCCAACCUUGAAAUACCACCCUGGCAACUUUGAGGUUCUAACUCAGGUCCGUUAUCCGGAUCGAGGACAGUGUAUGGUGGGUAGUUUGACUGGGGCGGUCUCCUCCCAAAGAGUAACGGAGGAGUGCGAAGGUAACCUCAGCGCGGUCGGAAAUCGCGCAGUGAGUGCAUAGGCAUAAGGUUGCUUGACUGCAA
rnacentral:rRNA from 14 species